CUUGGCGACCAUAGCGUUUUGGACCCACCUGAUUCCAUCCCGAACUCAGAAGUGAAACGAAACAGCGUC
rnacentral:rRNA from 2 species